rnacentral:lncRNA from 1 species
CUCACCGUGUCCGGGCGCUGCGGGGCGGCGUCCAGCAGUUCGUUCAGCUCCUCCAGCAUGGCGGCUGCGUGUGUGUGUGUGUGCACGUGUGAGGAGAGGGGAGAGCGACCAGAGCUGCGCAUGCGGCGGGCGGGGCCGCCUUCCCGCUUCCAGCCCCCCCCACCCCCGCCAUGUCAUGGUGGGCGCACUGAGGGGACGCGCUGAGAGGAACUGAGGGGACACACACUGAGGGGGCACACUGAGGGACACACUGAGGACAGAGGGACAAACUGAAGGCACACGCUGAGGGACACAUUGAGGACAGAGGGACAAACUGAAGGCACACGCUGAGGGACACAUUGAGGACAGAGGGACAAACUGAAGGCGCACACUGAGGGACGCACUGAGGCACUGUGAGGAUCCCUUGAGGGACGCUCUGAGGGGAUGCCCUCAGGGACAGAGGGACGUACUGAGGAGUCUCGCUGGAGGGCUGAGGGGACGCGCUGAGGGGCAGGGACAUGGGCAUGCCCGUGCUGUAGGAAGGGCCCUUCGCUCUGUUCCAACCCGAGCAUUUUGUUAUUCUGCGAUCCCCGCCUCCCCCUGCUGGCAGCGCUGUCCCCACCGCACCCGGACGCCCUUUACCCGCUGGCUGUGGCUGCUCGCAGAGCUGAGCCGUGCCCGGUUCGGGGCUGGCGGCCUUGUUGCAGCAGGGGUUGGGACCGGGUGGUCUUGGAGGUGCCUUCUGUCCAACCGUUCUGCCAUCCUGUGACUCGGCACCACCGCUGGGGCUCAGCACUGGG